rnacentral:tRNA from 1 species
ACCUCAGUGGCUCAGUCCGGUAGAGCGGCAGUCUUGUAAGCUGUUGGUCGCGGGAUCAAAUGCCGCCUGAGGCUCCA